AUAAGCAAUAACAUAGAGAUAUUGUUAAAAUCUAGACUUUGAUUUAAUAGGUUUAGUAGGUUUAGAGUGAGAUUCUGCAUUUCCAGCAAGCUCCCCAGUGAUGUUGAU
rnacentral:pre_miRNA from 1 species